AAUUCGAUGAUACGCGAGGAACCGUACCUGGGCUCGAACGUAAGAUGACUGUAGGUGAAAGCUUACAUCUCUUCGGAGCAUUUUACGAGGUGCUGCAUGGUUGUCGUCAGCUCGUGCCGUGAGGUGUCGGGUUAAGUCCCAUAACGAGCGCAACCCUACCUUUAGUUGCCAUCAGGUAAUGCUGGGGACUCUAAAGGAACUGCCUACGCAAGUAGUGAGGAAGCGGGGAUGACGUCAAAUCAGCACGGCCCUUACGUCCAGGGCUACACACGUGCUACAAUGGCCGAUACAGAGGGCAGCUACCUGGUGACAGGAUGCAAAUCUCCAAAGUCGGUCUCAGUUCGGAUCGGAGUCUGCAACCCGACUCCGUGAAGUUGGAUUCGCUAGUAAUCGCGCAUCAGCCAUGGCGCGGUGAAUACGUUCCCGGGCCUU
rnacentral:rRNA from 1 species